CUGGUGCCAGCAGCCGCGGUAAUUCCAGCUCCAAUAGCGUAUAUUAAGUUGUUGCAGUUAAAAGCUCGUAGUUGAAUUCGGGGUUAGUAGGUUGGUCAUGCCUCUGGUAUGUACUGGUCUCACUGAUUCCUCCUUCCUGAUGAGCCGUAAUGCCAUUAAUUGGUGUUGCGGGAAUUGGACUGUUACUUAGAAAAAUUAGAGUGUUUAAAGCAAGCUAACGCUUGAAUACAUUAGCAUGGAAUAAUGAAAUAGGACGUUCGAUCCUAAUUUUGUUGGUUUCUAGGAUUGACGUAAUGAUUAAUAGGGAUAGUUGGGGGCAUUAGUAUUCAAUUGUCAGAGGUGAAAUUCUUGGAUUUAUUGAAAGACUAACUACUGCGAAAGCAUUUGCCAAGGAUGUUUUCAUUAAUCAAGAACGAAAGUUAGGGGGAUCGAAGACGAUCAGAUACCGUCGUAGUCUUAACCAUAAACUAUGCCGACUAGGGAUCGGAUGAUGUUAAUUUUUAAUGACUCAUUCGGCGCCUUACG
rnacentral:rRNA from 1 species